CGUGGGGGCUUUUCCCCAAGGAGGGAGAAGGGCUGCCUUUCUCCCUCCUUGGGGAAAAGCCUCCAAG